rnacentral:rRNA from 1 species
CUACGGGUGGCACCAGUGGGGAAUAUUGCACAAUGGGGGAAACCCUGAUGCAGCGACGCCGCGUGAAGGAAGAAGGUUUUCGGAUCGUAAACUUCUAUCAGCAGGGAAUAAAAUGAAGGUACCUGACUAAGAAGCCCCGGCUAACUACGUGCCAGCAGCCGCGGUAAUACGUAGGGGGCAAGCGUUAUCCGGAAUUACUGGGUGUAAAGGGAGCGUAGGCGGCGAUGUAAGUCAGGUGUGAAAGCCCAGGGCUCAACCCUGGGACUGCACUUGAAACUACAUUGCUAGAGUACAGGAGAGGAAAGUGGAAUUCCUAGUGUAGCGGUGAAAUGCGUAGAUAUUAGGAGGAACACCAGUGGCGAAGGCGACUUUCUGGACUGUAACUGACGCUGAGGCUCGAAAGCGUGGGGAGCGAACAGGAUUAGAUACCCGAGUAGUC